rnacentral:rRNA from 1 species
GGGUGAGUAACACGUGGAUAACCUACCUAUAAGACUUGGAUAACUUCGGGAAACCGGAGCUAAUACCGGAUAAUAUUUUGAACCGCAUGGUUCAAAAGUGAAAGACGGUCUUGCUGUCACUUAUAGAUGGAUCCGCGCUGCAUUAGCUAGUUGGUAAGGUAACGGCUUACCAAGGCAACGAUGCAUAGCCGACCUGAGAGGGUGAUCGGCCACACUGGAACUGAGACACGGUCCAG